rfam:Strongyloides venezuelensis genome assembly, scaffold: SVE_scaffold0000011
CCAACGGCCCUCUUUAGGGCCACCAUCCUGAGCUUUUUUGUAUUUU